rnacentral:rRNA from 1 species
GUACGUAGGGUGCAAGCGUUUGUCCGGAAUUAUUGGGCGUAAAGAGCUCGUAGGCGGUUUGUCGCGUCUGCUGUGAAAAUCCAGGGCUUAACCCUGGACCUGCAGUGGGUACGGGCAGACUAGAGUGCGGUAGGGGAGAUCGGAAUUCCUGGUGUAGCGGUGAAAUGCGCAGAUAUCAGGAGGAACACCGGUGGCGAAGGCGGAUCUCUGGGCCGUAACUGACGCUGAGGAGCGAAAGCAGUGGGGAGCGAACAGG